rnacentral:rRNA from 1 species
AUUGAACGCUGGCGGCAGGCUUAACACAUGCAAGUCGAGCGGAGAUGAGGUGCUUGCACCUUAUCUUAGCGGCGGACGGGUGAGUAAUGCUUAGGAAUCUGCCUAUUAGUGGGGGACAACAUUCCGAAAGGAAUGCUAAUACCGCAUACGUCCUACGGGAGAAAGCAGGGGAUCUUCGGACCUUGCGCUAAUAGAUGAGCCUAAGUCGGAUUAGUUAGUUGGUGGGGUAAAGGCCUACCAAGGAGACGAUCUGUAGCGGGUCUGAGAGGAUGAUCCGCCAUGAUGGGACUGAGACACGGCCCCGGCUCCUACGGGAGGCAGCAGUGGGGAAUAUUGGACAAUGGGGGGAACCCUGAUACAGCCAUGCCGGGUGUGUGAAGAAGGCCUUAUGGUUGUAAAGCACUUUAAGCGAGGAGGAGGCUACUGAGACUAAUACUCUUGGAUAGUGGACGUUACUCGCAGAACAAGCACCGGCUAACUCUGUGCCAGCCGCCGCAGUAA